rnacentral:tRNA from 4 species
UUACUGAUAGGUUAUUUAAACUGGCAAAUUGUGGUUUUGUUGAUUACUCUGCGUGUUUGUAUCAGUAAA